rnacentral:rRNA from 1 species
AAUUGAAGCAGAGGACAGUGGCGGACGGGUGAGUAACGCGUGAGGAACCUGCCUUUCAGAGGGGGAUAACAUUUGGAAACAGAUGCUAAUACCGCAUAAGAUUACAGUACCGCAUGAUACAGUGAUCAAAGGAGCAAUCCGCUGAAAGAUGGACUCGCGUCUGAUUAGAUAGUUGGUGGGGUAACGGCCUACCAAGUCGACGAUCAGUAGCCGGCUUGAGAGAGUGAACGGCCACAUUGGGACUGAGACACGGCCCAAACUCC